UACGGGGGGGGCAAGCGUUGUUCGGAAUUACUGGGCGUAAAGGGCUCGUAGGCGGCCAACUAAGUCGGACGUGAAAUCCCACGGCUUAACCGUGGAACUGCUUGGUAUACUGGCUGUCUUGAGCCACUUAGGGGCGACCGGAACAAACGGUGGAGCGGUGAAAUGCGUAGAUAUCGUUUGGAACGCCAAAGGUGAAAACAGGUCGCUGGGAGUGUGCUGACGCUGAGACACGAAAGCCAGGGGAGCAAACGGG
rnacentral:rRNA from 1 species